AGUGGCGCACGGGUGAGUAACACGUACACAAUCUGCCUUAUACUGGGGCAUACCCUCGGGAAACUGAGAAUAAUUCCCCAUAACAUAUUGAAAAGGCAUCUUUUUAAUAUUAAAACUCCGGUGGUAUAAGAUGAGUGUGCGUCUGAUUGGCUAGUUGGUAAGGUAACGGCUUACCAAGGCUACGAUCAGUAACUGGUCUGAGAGGAUGAUCAGUCACACGGACACUGAGACACGGGUCCGACUCCUACGGGAGGCAGCAGUGGGGAAUAUUGCACAAUGGGGGAAACCCUGAUGCAGCCAUGCCGCGUGUGUGAAGAAGGCCUUCGGGUUGUAAAGCACUUUCAGCGAGGAGGAAAGGUCAGUAGCUAAUAUCUGCUGGCUGUGACGUUACUCGCAGAAGAAGCACCGGCUAACUCCGUGCCAGCAGCCGCGGUAAUACGGAGGGUGCAAGCGUUAAUCGGAGUUACUGGGCGUAAAGCGCACGCAGGCGGUCCUGUCAAGUCGGAUGUGAAAUCCCCCGGGCUCAACCUGGGAACUGGCAUUCGAAACUGGCAGGCUAGAGGUCUUGGUACACAGGGGGGUAGAAAUUCCCAGGUGUAC
rnacentral:rRNA from 1 species